CCCUUAGAUGUUCUGGGCUGCACGCGCGCUACACUGAUGCACUCAACGAGUUUUCGACCUUGCCCGAUAGGGCUGGGUAAUCUUUUUAAAAUGCAUCGUGAUGGGGAUAGAUUAUUGCAAUUAUUAAUCUUCAACGAGGAAUUCCUAGUAAGCGCGAGUCAUCAGCUCGUGCUGAUUACGUCCCUGCCCUUUGUACACACCGCCCGUCGCUCCUACCGAUUGGGUGUGCUGGUGAAAUGUUCGGAUCGGCCGUUUGUCGCGGUUUCCGCGUCAUGUGGCUGAGAAGUUCAUUAAACCCUCCCACCUAGAGGAAGGAGAAGUCGUAACA
rnacentral:rRNA from 1 species